CGUGCCUUGUGCCAAACAAUAUAUAACAACAAACCAUGGUGUGACGAGAAGAUGUAGUCUUUGCACUAUCAGUUGUUACCGGUGUAGUCAAUAAAGUGUCAUUUGCGCUAGAUGUUUCGUCACAGUGGCAUCAUUGUAAGUACUAAUAUACUUAUUAGAAAUAGCGUCGUACUUACCAAAACACGUGGAGUGAGUAGCGUGCAAGGUGAGCGGUUAGCCGGCAGCGGCGGCCGCAUGGUGACCACCACGCAUGGCGCUGCAGCACCACCAGCUGCUCAAGUGCACAACUCACACCCACAGUCCUGAUGCCGAGUUGUACCGAGUUUGUGAAGAGAGUAUGUUCAGCGCUGGCUGGCUGGCGCCGGGACGUAGCAACGCGACGCGAACUGUGUUUACAACAAUCGUAGGAACAGUUGCGGGGAGUUGGAGCGAGAUCGCGCGCCGCCGCUGGGAGGCCGCGAAGCCGACUGCCGCCUCGAGCCGCGUACCACCAGGGCGGGCGGCCGCGCCCCCGCGCGCCCAAUGCCUUCAAUUCUUCGCAUACCGUCUCACACUUUUAAGCGCACCUAAGUGUUUACCGAAGCUCGUACGAUCGCGUUAAAAGAUGUCUAAUCGCUCUCGACACGUACAUCAACGUAUUUCACGUUCAACGCUCUCCGUGUUCAGCGAAUACACCUCAAUACGUUAAUGUUACACACUUCCUCAAAGUAACAAUAACUUUUAAAAAUAAUGUCAAAAGCACAUUGACAAAUAAAAAACUUAUGUUUACAGCCUGAA